rnacentral:rRNA from 1 species
AUGGCACAGUGCCACAAGUUCCCCUCCCCUCGUCACCUCCACCUCCAUGGCCGGUCCCCGGAUUUCACUAUGGAAAAAAUGCGCCAAGUUUCCUGGAGUUGGCUCAAUUCCUCUCCCCCGACGAGGAGUCCGUGCUCCCCUACCCGAACCACGCAUCCAGGAGCUCCUCCCGGCCCACGGCGAUCUCCUGUGCGCGGCACCACCACUCUUCCUUCGAAUCAAGGCAUAAAGUUUGGAGCAUGUGAACAAGCAGUGCAAAUGGUGCAUUUUUUGUUUGAGCAUUUUGUGUAUAAAAAUUACAGGGACUCAUUUUGUGUUUGGGAUGAGACUAUUCAAAUAAUGUAG